rnacentral:rRNA from 1 species
GACGAACGCUGGCGGCGUGCUUAACACAUGCAAGUCGAACGGAAAGGCCCUGCUUUUGUGGGGUGCUCGAGUGGCGAACGGGUGAGUAACACGUGAGUAACCUGCCCUUGACUUUGGGAUAACUUCAGGAAACUGGGGCUAAUACCGGAUAGGAGCUCCUGCUGCAUGGUGGGGGUUGGAAAGUUUCGGCGGUUGGGGAUGGACUCGCGGCUUAUCAGCUUGUUGGUGGGGUAGUGGCUUACCAAGGCUUUGACGGGUAGCCGGCCUGAGAGGGUGACCGGCCACAUUGGGACUAAGAUACGGCCCAGACUCCUACGGGAGGCAGCAGUGGGGAAUAUUGCACAAUGGGUGGAAGCCUGAUGCAGAAACGCCGCGUGCGGGAUGACGGCCUUCGGGUUGUAAACCGCUUUCGCCUGUGACGAAGCGUGAGUGACGGUAAUGGGUAAAGAAGCACCGGCUAACUACGUG